rnacentral:rRNA from 1 species
GACGAACGCUGGCGGCGUGCCUAAUACAUGCAAGUAGAACGCUGAAGAGAGGAGCUUGCUCUUCUUGGAUGAGUUGCGAACGGGUGAGUAACGCGUAGGUAACCUGCCUUGUAGCGGGGGAUAACUAUUGGAAACGAUAGCUAAUACCGCAUAACAAUGGAUGACACAUGUCAUUUAUUUGAAAGGGGCAAUUGUUCCACUACAAGAUGGACCUGCGUUGUAUUAGCUAGUAGGUGAGGUAAUGGCUCACCUAGGCGACGAUACAUAGCCGACCUGAGAGGGUGAUCGGCCACACUGGGACUGAGACACGGCCCAGACUCCUACGGGAGGCAGCAGUAGGGAAUCUUCGGCAAUGGGGGCAACCCUGACCGAGCAACGCCGCGGGAGUGAAGAAGGUUUUCGGAUCGUAAAGCUCUGUUGUAAGUCAAGAACGGGUGUGAGAGUGGAAAGUUCACACUGUGACGGUAGCUUACCAGAAAGGGACGGCUAACUACGUG